AGAGUUUGAUCCUGGCUCAGAACGAACGCUGGCGGCAUGCCUAACACAUGCAAGUCGAACGAACCCUUCGGGGUUAGUGGCGCACGGGUGCGUAACGCGUGGGAAUCUGCCCUUUGCUUCGGAAUAACUCAGGGAAACUUGUGCUAAUACCGGAUGAUGUCUUCGGACCAAAGAUUUAUCGGCAAGGGAUGAGCCCGCGUAGGAUUAGGUAGUUGGUGGGGUAAAGGCCUACCAAGCCGACGAUCCUUAGCUGGUCUGAGAGGAUGAUCAGCCACACUGGGACUGAGACACGGCCCAGACUCCUACGGGAGGCAGCAGUGGGGAAUAUUGGACAAUGGGCGCAAGCCUGAUCCAGCAAUGCCGCGUGAGUGAUGAAGGCCCUCGGGUCGUAAAGCUCUUUUACCAGGGAUGAUAAUGACAGUACCUGGAGAAUAAGCUCCGGCUAACUCCGUGCCAGCAGCCGCGGUAAUUCA
rnacentral:rRNA from 1 species